rnacentral:snoRNA from 1 species
AGACCAUGAUGAAGACAAUGCCUAAGAAGAUCCGUGUAUCUUUCCCAAGCCUCGUACAACGAUUCAAAAUCUAGCUAUAUGAAUGAUGUAAUAUCAUUCCUCAAUUU